AUUUUAGGUUGGCCGAUAAAAUUGGCCUCUAUCAUUUAGUUGACCUCUCUCUCUCUCUCUGCAUCUCUUCCUCGUCGAACAAAUUGCAGAUCUGAUUCUUUAGCUCACCGGAUGGAUGCCAAGCCCAAACCCUCUCAUCCUUUCCAUAAUGCUGUCCCCGCCGCCCCUAGAUACCUCCUCGAUUGAGUAGCUCUAUCGCCGCCAGUCCUGCAACCACGCGAAAGACGAGUCGGGCAUCGCGCACGCGAUUGGGAAGGUAUGCAUUUCCUGCAGGAACAAUAAUGAGACCUCUGUUAAAUUAAUAGAACAAUAAGUUAAGUUUCAUCAUCAUGGCCUCCAAGCGCAUCUUGAAGGAGCUUAAGGAUUUGCAGAAGGAUCCUCCCACUUCCUGCAGCGCCGGUCCUGUGGCUGAGGACAUGUUUUGUUGGCAAGCAACGAUUAGGUGACCCCCUGAUAGCCCAUAUGCAGGAGGUGUAUUCCUCAUUACCAUUCAUUUCCCUCCUGACUAUCCUUUCAAACCACCUAAGGACUAAGGUCUUCCAACCGAAUAUCAAUAGAAAUGGAGUCCACUACAGUGAGUUAUGUGGAAACUAGUCCUAAAAAGGACAGAGAGCCCUUGGAGAGUGAUGAGUGAUGAAGGGUCAAGGAUGAAACUUAUCACCAAU